AAGUGCAUAUAUUUUAACAAGGUUGAAUAAGAAAAACUAUUAUUUGUCGGGUAUUUAUUUAUGCAUAACUUUGACAGUUAAUAAAGCUUGUGUUUUAGGUUUGGAAUUGACUUUUUGAUGAUUGUAUAUAUAGGAGCUACGGAGGUUCUGUCUUUUAUGGAGGCUGAUCUAAAGAAAAAUGCUGCCAGGAUUAUAGACAAGGCUAAACUCGAAAUCGGUUCAUGACGUUGCUGUUAAAGUUGUAGAAGGUGAUGCUAGGAAUGUUCUAUGUGAGGCUGUUGAGAAGAACAACGCGGCUAUUUUGGUUGUGGGUAAUCACGGUUACGGAGCAAUUAAGAGGGCAUUCCUAGGCAGUGUGAGUGACUACUGCGCUCGCCAUGCUCACUGCUCAGUAAUGAUCAUCAAGAAGCCAAAGACUACCACUGGAAGCAAGAGCUAAUAUCACUUCUGAAACUGAUGUUUAAUGAAGAAUUGAAGAUUGAACUGGACAGUGAUGCAUAAUCGUUCCGGUUGUAGUUAAGUACUUGCUUGUGAUUGUUAAAUAUGAACGUUUCUGUGUACAGCUUGUGGUUGAGCCCCGAGUUUAAACUUUUGGUCACAUUAGCCUUGUACUCCAUCUGUAAAAGUGGUUACAUUUUGUUUUUUAAGGUUAAAGUUUGAAGUAUUUCACUAGAAUUUCUUGCUCAUACAAUCAUAUAGCAUCAUCAUGCAGUAAUUUGAUUCUCAAACUUUCACUAUGGUUCUCAGGAAUGUAAAUUUAAUGAAAUAAUGUUAAAGAAGUCUUCAUGUUGGUUUAUGUAACCAACCCCAUUUGUGGGAUUAAGGCGCUCAUCAAGCCAAAGAAGAAUGAAAUAUAAAUCGAGAUGAAUCUAACAUUAUUUCAUAUGAUUAUAUUUAUAAAUUAACAAAACUAGUCAAAGUGGAGUAUAUGGUAAAAGUUUUUUUUUUCUUUUUUUU